rnacentral:lncRNA from 1 species
GAAUGAAUUUAGAAAAUAAAUGCAAAAUAUUUCCAGGAUCAUUACAGGUUAUUCUCAAAUGAAUGAAUGAAUGAUUGAAUAUUUUCUGAUCGAUACAUGUUCAAAGUAUUCUCUUAUCAGUUGAUUGAUUUACAUGUAACAUAUUUAAUGUGCGAAAGCUAUCUGGGGUCACUUAGUGAAAUCUCUCUCUCUGCUUACUGAAUAAAAUUCCUCGAACUAGCAUUCAGUUGCAAAUCAUUUCUGAGACACACAGGGAGCACUAUUAUUCCAUAAAGCAGCAUGCAUAGAAUCUAUAAGUUAAUACUUUUCGUCGGGAUUUUGUUAGCAAUCUUGAGUUUGUCAUAUGGACAAAUGAAUUUGGAACCAGACUUCGGCUAUAACUGGAUUUCAACUGGAAAUGGAUGUAGAAGGAUUAAUUGGCUGGGUCGAUGCUUGAGAAUUUAGAAAUGUGUAAAUAAAUAUGUCAUUAAUUCGAUCAGCAACAAUCUAACCAUUUAAAUGUUAUGUAAUAUCUAGAAAACAAAUGGAAAAUAUUUCAUUUAGGAAAGUGUUUUUAAACCUCUUCUGUUUUCACUGAGUAAUCUAAGUAACCCAUGAAUGAAUAAAUGAUUGAACCUUCCUUAAUUCUGUACCAUAUGUGUAGGAAAUGCACUGCCAUAGGCUAUCAGUGGUCGGUGGCUGUAAUCUCUCGAAUGAAUGUUGUUGUUUAUUCAAUUCUGUAUUGCAUGCACGGCCCCAAUGGUGCACUCAGUUGUGCGUGGAUUCUAGAGCUGUCAACGAUAAAGCAGAAACCUUCCAGUC